UCUUAUUAAAAGCUUUGCUACCUAAAAGUGAUUGAUUGAGUGAUUGAUGUAGUUUAAUGAUGGCACCAAGUAACCCGCGAGAAACGACUACCGUUUAGUUUACGACUAGCGGAGAUGCUGCUACACGCCAUUGAAAAAGCUAAGGACCAUAAGUUUGUCGAAGGUAAUAGCUGAUCUGAGCAACGUCAAAACCCCUAAGGCGGAAACGGAGGGAAUGGAACGAAACGAGAUCCGGAAAUAUCUUUUUCUCAAAAAAGAUUGAGCUCAGGAAAAAUAUUUCGUCAUUAUGAAGACAGUAUCGUUAACACAGACUCUAGAGCUAGACUGACACUGCUCUAAUAAAAAGCGAGAGUAGUCGGUGCAUCUUUUACCGUCUUUAUCGCCGUCACUGCUGCAGCAUGCGCAAUGCCCUACACGGGGGCAACCGUUCGCGUCACUCACGAUGCUCUGUUGCACUGUCCUUCAAUUCAUCUGAACAAAUGAUGAUGUCACCAGAUUAUCUAUCGCUCUAUCAAUCAAGCACGAAAUUGUCCCCUUUCAGCCGACACCCGUUCUUGAUCAUGUUCUACUGUUGCUCCGAUCCAUUGGUCUACCGCUUCUGGACACACCUGGAGAGUUUGGAGCUCCACUUACCUUCCUGUCUGUCAAGUCGUUCAUGGACAUCUGCCGAACUCUGAAUAAGCGUCCAUGACAAGUGACCGCAGCACGAUACGAAGCAAUAUAUGCCAACUUUCCUAGCUUAUACUUUGGGAUUUGGGCCUGGGCAUGUGCAACGGCCCGAUGACAUUUAACCUUUUUCGUUUUAUGUGAAUAUAUAUGAAUAGUCUCUGAAAACGGCAAAGUUUUAAGUACAAUAUCAGCAUAUCAGUGUACGAUCUUACCCUAUUCAUACAUAACAACUGUAAUAGAGCAAGCCUAGUAUCAUUAACAAGCUAAUUUACCAAUUAUGUGCAUUUAUAUUGUAACGU